AUCCCAGGACCCCAGGAUCACAUUCUGAGCAGAGAGCAGACUCUUAACAACUGAGCCACCCAGUGAUUUCCUGGAUCCAAAACAAAAUCUGUGUAUUUAUUUCUUUGAAAACAUCAUUUGUUGACCGUCCUUUCACUGCCAUGGAAUGAUUUGCCUUCUCAAUCCAGUGGAUUUUACUGGGAGCUUGCAUUUUCUGUGCCACUUUCUCCAACAAGUUCUAAAGGAAAAAAAGAAGAGGAUGCUAGACUAAUGUGCUUUUAGGGUUUAAUAAAGAUCCUCUCUCUCUCCUGCACCGCCUAUACUGGCAUCCAUUCACUAAAUAUUCAUUAAAUACCUACUCUACAGACAACUUUCAAGGCAAUGGAAUAUGCAAAGAAACGUCCACAGAAGUGGCAGCCCACAGCUCUCCAAUACAGCAAUACCACAGAACAGAUCAAACAUUCAUUACUGAUAAUAUAUAGUAUCAUGUACAAGUUACUCUUUCUUGAGUCAGUUUAAUAACGAACUGAAGAAUCUGCUUGAAUGUUGAAAUGAUAAACCAAAUGUACAGUCUAGUAUAAAUCCCAAAAUCACAAGAUUCAGAUAUUAAUCUUUCAUUCCCAAAUAAGAGUCAAUCCAUUUAGCAACUCUUUCCAGGGAGAUGAAUUCUGUCAAUGUGCUUUUAUUUUUCAGUUCUCCAAAGCAACACGUAACUAAGUCACAAAACUAGCAUUAGUCCAAUCAGCACCUUUUAAAGAGACUGAAUGUUGCAGGUAAUAUCUUAUUCCCAAGGCACUUUCAUUCACUCUCUCAUUUACACAAACAUCAAGUUAUAAUUCACCUUUUCACACAUUUCAUCUGCUGAGCCUGACACAAACAAUACAGGAUCUUUUAUACGAUAGAGAUCUUCGUCUCUAAGUUUAUGUUGCUGCUUUGGAUGGUGCAGUGGGUAAGAAAUACAAAUGAGACCUCGAACAAAAUCAUCAGCAUCAUCUGGCUCAAUAUGGCACAUUACAGAAGCAGCUGCUCUUGAGCCCAUUGAACGACCUAAAAUCAAUUAAAAUUAAGUUCAGUUUGAAAUAUAAACAUUCAUAUAUAGAAGUGGUGAUAAUAUGGCAAAUUAGAUUUCAUUUACUGUUCAUCCAUCAUAACUCCAACACUUAACUCCAAAAGGUGGCACUUAACAAGUUGUAAUACCCAUAAUGGACAUCUGUAGCUUCAUGAAAUGCUAAAAAUUGAUCCCAAGUUUAAAAAAAAAAAAGGAAUUUUUUUCCUGAAGAAUACUUGAAG